rnacentral:rRNA from 1 species
UUGACCUCGGAUCAGGUAGGGAUACCCGCUGAACUUAAGCAUAUCAAUAAGCGGAGGAAAAGAAACCAACAGGGAUUGCCCUAGUAACGGCGAGUGAAGCGGCAAGAGCUCAAAUUUGAAAGCUGGCCCCCUCGGGGCCCGCAUUGUAAUUUGCAGAGGAUGCUUCGGGCGUGGCCCCUGUCUAAGUGCCCUGGAACGGGCCGUCAGAGAGGGUGAGAAUCCCGUAUGGGAUGGGGUGCCCACGCCCGUGUGAAGCUCCUUCGACGAGUCGAGUUGUUUGGGAAUGCAGCUCUAAAUGGGUGGUAAAUUUCAUCUAAAGCUAAAUAUUGGCCGGAGACCGAUAGCGCACAAGUAGAGUGAUCGAAAGAUGAAAAGCACUUUGAAAAGAGAGUUAAAAAGCACGUGAAAUUGUUGAAAGGGAAGCGCUUGCGACCAGACUCGCCCCAGGGGUUCAACCGGCUUUCGGGCCGGUGUACUUCCCCCGGGGCGGGCCAGCGUCGGUUUUGGCGGCCGGUCAAAGGCCCCUGGAAUGUAACGCCCCCCGGGGCGUCUUAUAGCCAGGGGUGCCAUGUGGCCCGCCGGGACCGAGGAACGCGCUUCGGCUCGGACGCUGGCAUAAUGGUCGUAAGCGACC